AGGACUAACGCUGGCGGCGUGCCUAACACAUGCAAGUCGAACGAGAGUAGCAAUACUCUAGUGGCAGACGGGUGAGUAACACGUGGUCAACCUACCUCUAUGUGGGGGAUAACUAGCCGAAAGGUUAGCUAAUACCGCAUACGAUCGUCGAGCGGCAUCGCUUGACGAUGAAAGGAGCAAUCCGCAGAGAGACGGGACCGCGUCCCAUUAGCUAGUUGGUGGGGUAACGGCCUACCAAGGCGACGAUGGGUAGCUGGCUUGAGAGAGCGACCAGCCACACUGGGACUGAGACACGGCCCAGACUCCUACGGGAGGCAGCAGUGAGGAAUUUUCCGCAAUGGGCGAAAGCCUGACGGAGCGACGCCGCGUGUGGGAAGAAGGCCCUAGGGUCGUAAACCACUGUCGAAGGGGAGAUAUUGACGGUACCCUUGGAGGAAGCCCCGGCUAACUACGUGCCAGCAGCCGC
rnacentral:rRNA from 1 species